rnacentral:rRNA from 1 species
AUUGAACGCUGGCGGCAUGCCUUACACAUGCAAGUCGAACGGUAACAGGUCUUCGGAUGCUGACGAGUGGCGAACGGGUGAGUAAUACAUCGGAACGUGCCUAGUAGUGGGGGAUAACUACUCGAAAGAGUGGCUAAUACCGCAUGAGAUCUACGGAUGAAAGCAGGGGAUCGCAAGACCUUGUGCUACUAGAGCGGCCGAUGGCAGAUUAGGUAGUUGGUGGGAUAAAAGCUUACCAAGCCGACGAUCUGUAUCUGGUAUGAGAGGAGGAACAGCCUCACUGGGACUGAGACACGGCCCAGACUCCAACGGGAGGCAGCAGUGGGAAAUUUUGGACAAUGGGCGAAAGCCUGAUCCAGCAAUGCCGCGUGCAGGAUGAAGGCCUUCGGGUUGUAAACUGCUUUUGUACGGAACGAAAAGCCCCGGGUUAAUACCCUGGGGUCAUGACGGUACCGUAAGAAUAAGCACCGGCUAACUACGUGCCAGCCGCCGCCGUAA